GGUUGUAUAGUGUAGUUGGUUAUCACAUCGGAUUCUGAUCAUGCGAUUCAUUCGCUCAAUCAUUCCGGGGACCUGAGUUCGAAUCUCGGUACGACCU
rfam:Pseudogymnoascus pannorum VKM F-4515 (FW-2607) contig_1076, whole genome shotgun sequence.